rnacentral:rRNA from 1 species
UACGUAGGUGGCGAGCGUUGUCCGGAUUUACUGGGCGUAAAGGGCGUGCAGGCGGUCUGUUAAGUCUAGGGUGAAAGCUCCCGGCUCAACUGGGAGAGGUCCUUGGAUACUGGCGGACUUGAGGGAGGCAGAGGAGAAUGGAAUUCCCGGUGUAGUGGUGAUAUGCGUAGAUAUCUGGAGGAACACCGGUGGCGAAGGCGGCAUCCUGGACCGGCAUUGACGCUGAGGAGCGAAAGCCAGGGGAGCAAACGGG